rnacentral:rRNA from 1 species
GUCUACGGCCAUGCCACCCUGAAUGUGCCCAAUCUCGUCUGAUCUUGGAAGCUAAGCAGGGUUGGGUCUGGUUAGUACUUGAAUGGGAGACCACCUAGGAAGACCAGGUGCUGUAAGUG